UACGUAGGGGCCGAGCGUUGUCCGGAGUUAUUGGGCGUAAAGCGCGCGCAGGCGGCCUCGCGCGCCCGACGUGAAAGCCCCCGGCUUAACCGGGGAGGGUCGUUGGGGACGGCGGGGCUUGAGGGCGGGAGAGGGUGGUGGAAUUCCCGGUGUAGUGGUGAAAUGCGUAGAGAUCGGGAGGAACACCUGUGGCGAAAGCGGCUCACUGGACCAUAACUGACGCUGAUGCACGAAAGCUAGGGGAGCAAACAGG
rnacentral:rRNA from 1 species